rnacentral:rRNA from 1 species
AAACCGUUGAAAGGGAAGCGAAUGGAGUUAGCAAUUCGCCCUGCCAGAUUCAGUUGUCCGUGCUUCGCGACGUGCGCGCUCUCGAUCCGCAUGGACGAGACGUGUGCGGAUGCGAUGCGYGGGCGGCGCACUYCUGGCGAGCGAGCGUCAGCGUCGGUUGUCGACGGGCGACAAGGACAUGAGGAAGGUGAACCGACCUUUACGGCCGGUUGUUAAGCCUCUUGCUCUCAUAGCCCGACGGCGACCGUGGUUCUGCGACGCGUGCCUCGCUGGUGACUCUUACGAUCGGUCCGGCAUGUCGACCGUGGCGGACGGCACGCCUGUGCGCUCAAACUGCUGCCGGUCGAUCGAAUGAUGCUCACACACUACGCGUCGAAGAUGCUGACGGCCAUACGGCUCCAUCCGACCCGUCUUGAAACACGGACCAAGGAGUCUAACAUGUGCGCGAGUCUCCGGGUGAUCGAAACCCGUGGGCACAAUGAAAGUAAAGAUCGUCCUAGACGAUUGAGGUGAGAAGCGAAUACCCCGGUAUUCGCGCCAUCAUCGACCGACCUAUUCUGCUCUCAGAAAGGUUUGAGUAAGAGCGUAUCUGUUGGGACCCGAAAGAUGGUGAACUAUGCCUGAAUAGGGUGAAGCCAGCGG